GUGAACGCUGGCGGUAGGCCUAACACAUGCAAGUCGAACGGCGGCACAGUAAGAGCUUGCUCUUACGGGUGGCGAGUGGCGGACGGGUGAGGAAUACAUCGGAAUCUACUUUUUCGUGGGGGAUAACGUAGGGAAACUUACGCUAAUACCGCAUACGACCUACGGGUGAAAGCAGGGGAUCUUCGGACCUUGCGCGAUUGAAUGAGCCGAUGUCGGAUUAGCUAGUUGGCGGGGUAAAGGCCCACCAAGGCGACGAUCCGUAGCUGGUCUGAGAGGAUGAUCAGCCACACUGGAACUGAGACACGGUCCAGACUCCUACGGGAGGCAGCAGUGGGGAAUAUUGGACAAUGGGCGCAAGCCUGAUCCAGCCAUACCGCGUGGGUGAAGAAGGCCUUCGGGUUGUAAAGCCCUUUUGUUGGGAAAGAAAAGCAGCAGGUUAAUACCCCACUGUUCUGACGGUACCCAAAGAAUAAGCACCGGCUAACUUCGUG
rnacentral:rRNA from 1 species